rnacentral:rRNA from 1 species
UACGUAGGGGGCAAGCGUUGUCCGGAAUUAUUGGGCGUAAAGAGCGUGUAGGCGGUCCGGUAAGUCAGCUGUGAAAGUCAAGGGCUCAACCCUUGAAAGCCGGUUGAUACUGUCGGGCUAGAGUCCGGAAGAGGCGAGUGGAAUUCCCGGUGUAGCGGUGAAAUGCGCAGAUAUCGGGAAGAACACCCGUGGCGAAGGCGGUUCUCUGGGACGGUAUUGACACUGAUGAGCGAAAGCCAGGGGAGCAAACGGG